CUCUGAUCAAGGUGUCAAAUAGCAUACAUCUCUUAACAUGGGAAUUAAGACCUUGCGCAUUUACCGAAAUGAAUCUAACCAUGGUCAAUUUCUAUUUUCCUUCUCUCCCAUAUUAAGACCGAAAAUGUUUCCAUCAUCCACACACUAACAUUCAUACCACAUAUAAUCGCAAACAUCACGUUUGGAUAAUCCAACAUAAUCCAAGUACUGGGUGCCCUAAAGGUACCCUCGGGGAAAGGCAAGACAUCCCGGAAUGUAAAAAAGCCUAAACAUUCAGAAGAUGGAAAAAUUUAAAUAGAAAGAGAGCCUCAGAAGUUCCUCCUCAUAUUCUAAUUUUCCUUCGUUUAACAUAUUGUGUUUAGGAAAGAGAGAGAGAAAAAAUAAAAAAAAAAGAGAAUAAAAAGACACAUCCUCUUAACCGAGAAUAAAAACACACAUCCUCUUAACCGCAUCUUUGUUUCCAUUCAUUAUUUUCUGUCAAUAAACUGCUCUACUUGUGUCUAAAUAUUCAUCUUUCAUAAAUUAUUUAUAUACUUUCAAUCUUGCAAACUCCUACAUAACAUACAUUCCUUAUUAGGAAGAGUUAUAAUAGAUCAAUUACCUAUGUGAUUCUAAUAUUAAAUUAUAAGACAUUGAAUAUAUCUUGUGUUAAUGUUUUUCAGUGUCAAAAUAAGUGUAAAAAUCUCCCUUGAAUCUUGAAAAAAAAAA